UACGUAGGGGGCGAGCGUUGUCCGGAGUUACUGGGCGUAAAGCGCACGCAGGCGGUCUGCUAAGUUUGGAGUGACAGUUGGUGGCUUAACUGCCAAAGUGCUUCGAAAACUGACAGACUUGAGGGCUUCAGAGGGACACGGAAUUCCGGGUGGAGUGGUGAAAUGCGUAGAGAUCCGGAGGAACACCAAAGGCGAAGGCAGUGUCCUGGGGAGUACCUGACGCUCAGGCGCGAAAGCCAGGGGAGCGAACAGG
rnacentral:rRNA from 1 species